ACAUUUAUUUAAGGCUAGUUAUAUGCACAAAGACCUUAUUAGACUGCAUUUUUUGUAAAUCAUAAACCAAUGUAUGUCAUGUGGAAUUCACAAUUACAGUUUGUUUUGACAUUUAGUCUGUUUUUAUAACCUUUAAACUUUUAUGACAAGCAUUCGAUGGGUUUGCAGGACUUUGUUUACAUUUUGUCUGUUUUCCUCUUCCUCAUAGGUUCAAGACGGGACAGAUUAAUGGGGAUUUAUUCAUAUGCCAUCUCCUUCUCGCACUCUAACCAUACCACGCCAAAUCAAAUGAGCUUGUAGUGGACAUGACACAUGCUGGUUAGAGCAACCGCUUCAAGACAAACUUCCUCUCCAAAUUAUUUGUUGUUUUUCCAGGAUUUGCUUACAAGAAUGUGGCCGCCAUCUACAUCUAUAACUGUAACACAUGGGUACGAGAAUACACCAUGUACCAUGAGAGACUGCUGACAGGUCUCAAAGGCAGCAAGAAGUUACUGUUCAUUGACUUGCCCUCACAGCUGGUUGAGUACAGUAUGUGGAACCUGAGCAACAGAAGUUUCCGACAGCUACUCUUGCACUGGAAGAAGACCUGAAGGUCUUUCACAAUGCCUUAAAACUGGCCCACAAAGACAGCAAAAUGUCCAUUAAGGUGGAGAGUACAGCAGUGCAUGUGACCUCAGCCGAAAGAACACGAGUCUUGGGUCAGUCUGUCUUCCUCAAUGACAUCUACUGUGCUUCAGAGAUCGAGGAGAUCUGCCUAGUGGAUGAAAAUCAGUUCAUGCUGACCAUUGCUAACCAGGGCACGCUGUUGACCUUCAUGCACCAGGAGUGUGAGAGCAUAGUUCACUCGAUUAUCCACAUCCAUACACAUUGGGAGCUCUCUCAGCCAGAUUCCAUCCCCCAGCACACCAAGAUCAGGCCCAAAGACAUUCCGGGAACACUUCUCCACAUCGCCCUCCUCAACCUAGGAAGCUCUGACCCUAGUUUUAGGUCUGUAGCUUACAACCUCCUGUGUGCCUUAACUUGCACCUUAAACCUAAAGAUUGAAGGCCAACUGCUGGAGACACCCGGCCUCUGCAUCCCUGCCAAUAAUACUCUCUUCAUCGUGUCCAUUAGCAAGACUCUAGCAGCUAAUGAGCCUCAACUGACCCUGGAGUUCCUGGAAGAGUGUAUCUCUGGCUUCAGCAAGUCCAAGUACAUUACUCCCUGGCUGCUGAACCUGGUAUGCUGCAAGCACAGCGACGAUGCCAAGCACCAAUGAGCCACUGCCAUUCUGGACAAACUCAUUACCAUGACAAUCAACCAAAAGCAGAUGUAUCCAUUCAUUCAGGCCAAGAUCUGGGGAAGCCUGGGACAGAUAACAGAUCUACUUGAUGUAGUUCUGGAUCGUUUUAUUAAAACCAGUGCAACGAAAAGCCUCGGAUCCAUCAAAGCUGAAGUGAUGGCAGACACAGCAGUGGCUUUGGCUUCUGGUAAUGUAAAACUGGUGUCUGGCAAGGUGACUUACAUACACACACGGACACACUUUGUGAGUUCAGCUUUUAGAAGACUGUUUUUCCUACAUUAAGACUAGAAAAACAGGCUGAGUUCCAAAUUUUAAGAACGUUUAUGAACAUGUAAAAAGCAACGAUAAAGAUGUUACAUGAUGUGAUGCUGUAACAGCAGCUCUAAUUAUAGAAGCACUGUGAGAAUCAGAUGUGGUUUGCUUGGUUUCUAUCUCUCUCGCUUUUGUUCUUUCUCUCUUGAACCACCUCGUCUGUUUCUAUUUCUCUCACUUUGUCAUGAGAGAUAGUGAUCAUGGGCUUUUGGUUGGUUCAUUGUGCUCAGCUGGGUUCUGUGAACCAGACAAACUUAACAUCUGAAUAAUUCAUUCAAAUAAAUUCUUCAAAAAUUUCCAGUCAGAACAAUCCUUUGUUUUUAAAAAAAGUUUAAACAUUUUUUUUCAAUGAGAAAAAGGAAAUGUGUUUUCUUCUGUCUUCCUUUGUGUAUUGUGCUCUCUCUCUCUCUCUCUCUCUCUCUCUCUCUCUCUCUAUAGCAUUUGGACCAUUCAGACUCACAACUAUUUGUUAAAUUUAACAAAUAAUAUCUAACGUCUCCUCAUUUAACCAAAGGGUAUAUGGACCCUUCCCCCAAAAUGGCACCUUUUACCUCAAAAUUGACAGAACAGGCCUCUGGUUCCCUAGCAACCAUGAUAACACUUAUGACGCCCAAGAAUGUGAUUCUUAGAAUUGACCUACAGUUGACACUGAGUGGUCAAGUAAAUACUUACAGCGGAUCUAAAUAUUUACAAUUACUCAUAAAUAAGCAUACAUUUAUUAUACUGUACAUAUUUUUUUUUUUACAUAUUUUUUUUUUACGUUUUAGUUUCCGUAAUUUUAGUACUUCUACUAAUUUUCAGUUAGUUGCCAAGGCAGCAGUUAUAAGUUUUUCAACUAUUUUAACCUAUUUAUAUAAUGUUGAAUAUUCAACAUUGUAUUUAGUUUUUUUUAAGCUUUAUUUAAUUGAAUGUUUAUUAUUUUUAGUGUAAAAAUUUUGUGUAAAAUCAUCUAUAAAAUGUGUCUAUCACCCACACCAACAUUGGAGCAGCACCUGAUGUGGGAUGAUAUCGCUAUCCUGGCCAGGUACAUGCUCAUGUUGUCCUUCAACAACUCUCCGGAGGUUGCAGCCCACCUGCCCUACCUCUUCCAUGUUGUGACCCUGCUGGUGGCCAAGGAGUCUCUUUCUCUGUGGGCAUCCACACAUGGCCUGGUUAUCAACAUUAUCCACUCCUUCUGCACAUGCUCCCAGCUGAGUUUCAGCUGUAAGAUGACAUUUUUGGCCUAGAGAGAUGUUUUGAUGGAUCUGAAGUGUCUUGUUCUUCUGCUCUGCAGAGGAGACCAAACAGGUGUUGCAUCUACUGCACGUAUAAGGGAAAUUCCAGGUUGUAAAUGGCUGGACCAGUAAACCGAUCUGGCACAGAAGUUUGCAUUUCAAUACAAUCCGUCCCUGCAGCCGAGGGCUCUUGUGGUGUUUGGUUGCAUCAGUAAACGGGUCACACACACUCAAAUUAAACAAAUCCUACUGAUCCUGAGCAAGGCCUUUUCUCAGGGUUUGGAGAGCUGCCGGAAUGGUCCUGAUAACUGUAACAGCUAGCCGUCAUUGCCCUCACUAAACUACAGCCUCUGCUCAACAAGGUCUCAAAUAACAGUGUUCUUCUAAAUAUGACUGUGUGUGUGAGAGAAUGUGUGACUUGUUUCUCUAUGCGGUGUCGCUCAGGACUCACCAGUACACAAAGCCCUGUUCUAGGUCACUGUGGCUGUGCUGCAGUUGGAUGAGGUGAAUCUGUACUCUGCUGGAACAGAACCUACACACACUCGAUAGUCUGCGAGUCUUCAAUGACAAGAAUCCUAAAGGGGUUUUUAUGGAGAUUCACCAACCUCUGGAAAGGCACUGGAAACAGAUGGACCAUUUUGCUUGUCUCAAUGGCAACUUUAAUUUCGCUUUGGUCGGGCACCUGUUGAAAGGGUUCAGACACCAUUCUCCCACCACAGUGGCACGCACCAUCCGUAACCUGCACAUAUUGUUGGCCUGGGUUGGAAAACACCUGAACUGUGAUAAGUUUGAGGUGAACACAGAGCGUAACAUAUCUGGGUGCUCUCCGUCCAGUGUCAGAGGAAAUGUGAAGGCGUUGCAGCCUGAAAGACAGGAAGUGGUUGCUCCUCUCUGAUGUUAACAUGGAGAAUGUUCCCAUGGAUAAAUACUCCGUACAUCAUGAGGAUCCAAGCUGCAGAACGCUGCGGGAAAGCCAACUGUGGGUAUCCCCAAAGGCCUCAGAGCAGUACUUGGUGGCCCAGUACCCCAUAGUGGUGCAGAUCAGCCCAAGAACACAUAAAUCCUUGAGCCGGGACAUGGGGGAACCUUCCCAGGUCAACAGCAAGAAGUUUAAAAAGUUUUAACCCCCUGAUGUCAGACAGCCGAAGAGGCCUGAAAUGGAAUCUGGUAUCACAACACUGCGCAAGAUGAGAAGAGUGGCUGAAAACGAAUAUGAAAUUGAAACCCCAAGAAUCUCGUUUCACCACCUGUGAACUCUGUGUCUGAGUCCAAUAUCCUGCUAAAUAAGGAAGUUCUUACAGAUCCUACAGAUCCAGGCACUGGUUCUUGCAGUACUGUCACAACCUCCUGGACUCGCUGUGUCAGGACCCAGUCCAUGGACUUGUGCAGAGUGUAGUUUAUCAUGAAGAGUCGUCACCUCCGUACCAGACGUCUUAUCUGCAAACUUUUUGGGUUUAAUGGACUCUGAAAGUUUGGUGGUCCUCUCUCUAAGAGCAAACUCAGUUCCCAGACUAUCUGGAGCUGAUUGUCAAGUUUCUGGAUGCACUGAUUGACACCUAUCUGCUGGGCAUAGAUGAGGAAAUGGGCGAGGAAGGUCUGCGCACACCCACCUCUCUAUACCCUCCACCUGUCCAGAGCCAGCUCAGCAUUGACCUUACUGGCCACCUCCCAGCAUACACCAGGAAUCGAAAAAGAGAAGGUGGAUCUGUCCACCACCAUGGGUCUGGCAGCCAGCGGACGCACACGCCAAGGUUCAGCCACCCAGGUCCAGAAACAACGAGAGCACUGGCAGCUUUAAAAGACCUAGUAUCAAAAAGAUUGUAUGAGACCUACAGCACAGCAGGGUUGAGCCCCUGCUGGACCUAUGACAUACAUUGUGCUGUAUUUCAUUUCGUGUCUCUUCACUCCUGCUAAACCUGCCAUUUGCGGUAAUCUGUAGGUUCUCUUGAAACUGUUCUGCGUGUCUGCCAGGAUCAAAAUAAACUGAACGCCUCACUGUCACUGUUUGACACUGUCACUGUUUGAGAGAAAGUCCAGUAUUUUUUAUUUUGUUUGUUCAUAACAGAACUAUUUCUUGUUUUUAUUUAUUUAUUUAUUACAUUUGAUGAAAUCACAGACAUUGCCUAAAGGUGGUGUCAUAAUUAUUUUGUUUUAAAAGCACUAAUUUCUGUCUUAAAUUUAAAAGAUGAAAGUAUUAACCAAGUGACAUUCUUUUUUCAAUUAUAUUUUAUUUACUUAACUACGUUUACAGUUGUUUUUGUUUGCAUAUUUUGUGGUUGUUUCUUAGUGUGGAAGGGAUAAUUUAGUUUCCUGGAGAGUUCCCUAAAAAUGUACAAUCGCUUAUUUGAACCUUUUAAUAGCCUUUAUAUUGUAUAGAAAAUAAAGUAUUAAUUAUAUUAUAGUAUUAAUAUAGUAAAAAAAAAAAUUAUAGUUAAAAAUAGAAAAGUAUAUUUACUACACUGUAAAUACAAGUGAUUAUUAAUUAUUAUUUAGCUUUUUGUAAAGCAGUUAAUUUCUGAAUAUGUACAACAUAAAAUUAUUGUCAGUCAAUCAUGUUAACUGCAUUAUGUCAAUUAACAUGGAGGGAAUAUUAAGUGUGCACUGAAGAUUGAAAUCUUUGUGUCUUCUGGACCCUCUUUAUAAAACAUUAUUGUUAUCAUGUGAUUUAUUUGUUACAGAUGUGCCAUUAAUAAAGUCCAUAUCUGCCCAG